UUCGAGUUACGGGGUUCUGAUCAGCAGUAAGCUGGCUGAAUGUGAUGACGUAAGCUUUUAUAAUGCCACUCCAGCUAACAGGUAACAUCAUCCCACGAUAAAGCUCUGAGAUGAAGACCGAAAUUAUGUUGAUCUUGUUCUUUUUGGCUGUUGCAGCAGCUGACAUCGGACACGCCGGUGAUUAUGGCGAGAAUGUCAUCCUCAGUGUUGUAAAACGCGCGAUAGACAACCAGAGGAUGAAAAGGGGAUCUUCUGGCGGUUUUAGAUGUCCACCACGCUGUGGUAAAAUCUCCGAGAACUCAUACUACAAAGAUACGCCCCUCCAAAAGGUUGUCGAACGCAGCGUGCUGCAGACAAGGAAGUAAAUGCGCAUUUAGAAAGGUGUCUGUUAAACUUCUGUCGAGAGAGCAUUUGCAAACUUCCUGUGGAGAAACAACGAAGCAAAGACAAACAUUUACUACUAUAUAACACUGUCUUUUAUUCAUGUAUUACACCAACAUUUAUCGAUUAACAGCUUCUAUGUACUGAUGUAAUAUAUAAAAAAAGUGUCUGAAUCCAGACUAUAAGGAUAUUGUAUCCCUUUAUUAUUAUCCAGCUACCGAAAACGAGAUUUUUCCUGCAUCUAAUUAUUCAAUAAAGCAUCUACACGUAUGUUUGUGUUGAUUUACAACAAUAAAGAAUUGAAAAU